GCUUGUCUCAAGGAUUAAGCCAUGCAUGUCUAAGUACGCAUGGCUGGGUACAGUGAAACUUCGUGUGAAUGGCUCAUUAAAUUAGUUAUGGUUCCUUUGUCACUCGCUCCUCUCAUGCUUGGAUAACUGUGGUCAUUCUAGAGCUAAUAACACACCAAUGGGCACUGACGCCCCCCCCUCAGGGUGGGGAAUUCAUGCAUUUAUCAGCAAAAAUCAACCUGGCCGGGGUGAGGGGCGGUGAUGGGGGCUUUGGUGACUUCAGAUAACUUUGGGCAGAUCUCUGGCUCCUUGUGUCGGUAAUGACCCAUUUCAACAUCUGCCCUAUCAACUUUAAUGGUAGUAGCUGUGCCUACCAUGGUGACCAUGGGUGACAGGGAAUCAGGCUUCCAUUCCAGAGAGGGAGCCUGAGAACCAGCUGUCACAUCCAAGGAAGGCAGCAGGUGUGCAAAUUACCCACUUUCGCCCUAGGGAGGUAGUGACAAAAAAUAACAAUACAGGGGCUGGGGAUUUGGCUCAGUGGUUAGAGCGCUUGCCUAGGAAGCGCAAGGCCCUGGGUUCGGUCCCCAGCUCUGAAAAAAAGAACCAAAAAAAAAAAAAAAUAACAAUACAGGAGUACUUUCUUGAGGCCCUGUAAUUGGAAUGAGUCCACUUUAAAUCCUUUAACGAGGAUUCAUUGGAGGGCAAGUCUGGUACCUUCUACGUGGGGCAUACCCUGCUGGUGACCCACACAGAGCCCCAUCGGAACUCCAGAUUAAGCAAAGACCCAGACCUUCCUGCUCUAAAGGC
rnacentral:ncRNA from 1 species